GACGGGGGGGGCAAGUGUUCUUUGGAAUGACUGGGCGUAAAGGGCACGUAGGCGGUGAAUCGGGUUGAAAGUGAAAGUCGCCAAAAAGUGGCGGAAUGCUCUCGAAACCAAUUCACUUGAGUGAGACAGAGGAGAGUGGAAUUUCGUGUGUAGGGGUGAAAUCCGUAGAUAUCGGAAGGAACACCUGUGGCGAAAGCGGCUCACUGGACCAUUACUGACGCUGAGGCACGAAAGCUAGGGGAGCAAACAGG
rnacentral:rRNA from 1 species